rnacentral:rRNA from 1 species
UACAGAGGGUGCAAACGUUGCUCGGAAUCAUUGGGCGUAAAGCGUACGCAGGCGGUCUGUUUAGUCGGGUGUGAAAGCCCCGGGCUCAACCUGGGAACUGCAUUUGAAACUGGCGGGCUUGAGUGUGGCAGAGGGGGGUGGAAUUCCGCGUGUAGCAGUGAAAUGCGUAGAGAUGCGGAGGAACACCGAUGGCGAAGGCAGCCCCCUGGGCCAACACUGACGCUCAGGCACGAAAGCGUGGGGAGCAAACAGG